UACAGGGGGUGCAAACGUUGCUCGGAAUUAUUGGGCGUAAAGCGCACGUAGGCGGUCUGUUGCGUCGGCUGUGAAAUCCCGAGGCUCAACCUCGGGUCUGCAGUCGAUACGAGCAAACUAGAGUGUUGCAGGGGAGACUGGAAUUCCUGGUGUAGCGGUGAAAUGCGCAGAUAUCAGGAGGAACACCGAUGGCGAAGGCAGGUCUCUGGGCCACUACUGACGCUGAGAAGCGAAAGCAUGGGGAGCGAACAGG
rnacentral:rRNA from 1 species